rnacentral:rRNA from 1 species
ACCAGGUGUCGUAAUACCACUCGCCCGAUCUCAUCUGAUCUUAGAAGCUAAGCAAGGUCAGGGCUGGUUAGUACUUGGAUGGCAGCCUGCAGGAUUUGAAAGAUUUGCAUGCAUGGUU